GGCCGUGCGUGCGCUAGGUUUCUCUAGUCUGGGUUUCGCCCUCGCCCAGCUGGACCGAGAAGGUGCUUCCUCCACGCCAGUGGGCGCUCGGACACUCGCGGGCGUGACUGAUCGCGCAGGGUCUCGCCGGCCCGCCGAAGAAGACGCUGGCCAAACCCUACCCCGACUUUCCCGGACGCGGGCCCACUCGGCACACCAGCUCUGCAGCUGAGCCCAGUGAGUCAAGCCUACCUGGAACCUGGUAGAAAAUCCCUGUCAGCAGCACCCAGGGCAGAGAAUCUGGAAGUUAGCUAAGAGAGGAAGAAGUGGGUGGUGAAAGGAAGCGGGUUGACAGCUGUCCAAGUGAAGGAACUUUGAAAAACCAGAUAAAGGCAAUCCGCCAUAAGGAGUCGUAGAGAGGCUAUCAGAGCGAUAAGGAGGCCCCGGUUGGCUUCUGUUCUGUUCUCUUGAUAAACUACAAUAAUCUUUUCCCUCCUUGAACUUGAUGUCUUCUAUUCAGUCCUUUGUUUAUGGGGUUGAUGAGUACGUUUUCUCUGCACUGAAUCGCCUUCCCGCCUCCAACCCUUGGGAAUUGGUCCGACUUGCAACUGUUCGAAGAGACAAAUAACUUCACCAGUGUCUACACUAUAUGCCUUUCAUCAGUAACCACUGUUCAGACUCUGUCUGGACACCUCGGUGAAGACCAGGACACGAGCCUGCUGAGCAACCACCUUGAUCAUGGAAGCUGCUUUUUGCAAUCGACAGUGGUUAAUUCAGACACUCAAAACUGGUGAAAGUGCUGAGAUUAACUAGCCCUGAGCAUGGGAUAUUUAUGUGAACAUUCUCUUCUCAGGGCACAUGGCAGAAGAAGACGAGGCAGAAAUAUGAGCUGAGGAUUGGGAGUUCUGUGAGAUGCUGUCUUCAGGAUAUGAUACGGAUGUUGCACUCAUGAACGAACUCCACAGCAAGUUUGAUUACCUGUACUAGACCUGCAUAGGAUGGAGCCUGUCAACAUUCCAGCAGGCCAGGGAGGAGGUUAUUGAAAGUUAAUGGAUGCUGAGAGAUAUCAUCUAUUUUCUUCCAGUAAAUAACCCCACACCCAUGCUCAUAUCACUGCAUCCUUUCCUACAUCCUGAGUAAAACAAUUUUAAUAACUUGCCAUGCGUUCUCUUCUGUGGCACACUCAAGUCUGAGGCCGUUGAGAUGCUCUAGAAACCGACUCCGUGUGCAGACAUCUUCACGAGACGCAGGUUAUCUCAUGGAGAACGGGCUGUUUCACUGCCUUGCCACUGGCAGUAGGAAGUAGCAAGCUGGGCAGCAGAAAGAAGUUUGCCUCAGGUGGCCCGACAGUGGAGUGUGCCUUUGCUCCCGUGCCAGUGGCUCCAUUUGCGUGGCAGAGUCCCACUAUUGUGUUCAGUCAAAGGAACUGAAAUCAGUGUUUUGGAAAGAUGGCUGCACUCCCAGGCCUCCCAAGUUUCUUACUGCACCACACACAAUAGCCAAAUGUGGAUUCGACCCAAGUGUCCA